GGACUAACAUGCAGUCGGACGGUAGCACAGAGGAGCUUGCUCCUUGGGUGACGAGUGGCGGACGGGUGAGUAAUGUCUGGGGAUCUGCCCGAUAGAGGGGGAUAACCACUGGAAACGGUGGCUAAUACCGCAUAACGUCGCAAGACCAAAGAGGGGGACCUUCGGGCCUCUCACUAUCGGAUGAACCCAGAUGGGAUUAGCUAGUAGGCGGGGUAAUGGCCCACCUAGGCGACGAUCCCUAGCUGGUCUGAGAGGAUGACCAGCCACACUGGAACUGAGACACGGUCCAGACUCCUACGGGAGGCAGCAGUGGGGAAUAUUGCACAAUGGGCGCAAGCCUGAUGCAGCCAUGCCGCGUGUAUGAAGAAGGCCUUCGGGUUGUAAAGUACUUUCAGCGGGGAGGAAGGCGGUGAGGUUAAUAACCUCGCCGAUUGACGUUACCCGCAGAAGAAGCACCGGCUAACUCCGUGCCAGCAGCCGCGGUAAUACGGAGGGUGCAAGCGUUAAUCGGAAUUACUGGGCGUAAAGCGCACGCAGGCGGUCUGUUAAGUCAGAUGUGAAAUCCCCGGGCUUAACCUGGGAACUGCAUUUGAAACUGGCAGGCUUGAGUCUCGUAGAGGGGGGUAGAAUUCCAGGUGUAGCGGUGAAAUGCGUAGAGAUCUGGAGGAAUACCGGUGGCGAAGCGGCCCCCUGGACGAAGACUGACGCUCAGUGCGAAAGCGUGGGGAGCAAACAGGAUUAGAUACC
rnacentral:rRNA from 1 species